rnacentral:rRNA from 1 species
AACGAACGCUGGCGGCAGGCUUAACACAUGCAAGUCGAACGCACUCUUCGGAGUGAGUGGCAGACGGGUGAGUAACGCGUGGGAACAUACCCAGCUCUACGGAACAACCCAGGGAAACUUGGGCUAAUACCGUAUACGCCCUUCGGGGGAAAGAUUUAUCGGAGUUGGAUUGGCCCGCGUUGGAUUAGCUAGUUGGUGGGGUAAUGGCCUACCAAGGCGACGAUCCAUAGCUGGUCUGAGAGGAUGAUCAGCCACACUGGGACUGAGACACGGCCCAGACUCCUACGGGAGGCAGCAGUGGGGAAUAUUGGACAAUGGGCGCAAGCCUGAUCCAGCCAUGCCGCGUGAGUGAUGAAGGCCCUAGGGUUGUAAAGCUCUUUCAGUCGUGAAGAUAAUGACAUUAGCGACAGAAGAAGCCCCGGCUAACUUCGUGCCAGCAGCCGCGGUAAUACGAAGGGGGCUAGCGUUGUUCGGAAUCACUGGGCGUAAAGCGCACGUAGGCGGAUAUUUAAGUCAGGGGUGAAAUCCCGGGGCUCAACCCCGGAACUGCCUCUGAUACUGGGUAUCUUGAGUCCGAGAGAGGUGAGUGGAAUUCCGAGUGUAGAGGUGAAAUUCGUAGAUAUUCGGAGGAACACCAGUGGCGAAGGCGGCUCACUGG